ensembl:piRNA 21ur-13474 ncRNA
UAUUCUCAAGAUAACUUAUGA